GAUGAACGCUGGCGGCGUGCCUAAUACAUGCAAGUCGAGCGAACAGACGAGGAGCUUGCUCCUCUGAUGUUAGCGGCGGACGGGUGAGUAACACGUGGAUAACCUACCUAUAAGACUGGGAUAACUUCGGGAAACCGGAGCUAAUACCGGAUAACAUGUUGAACCGCAUGGUUCAACAGUGAAAGACGGUCUUGCUGUCACUUAUAGAUGGAUCCGCGCCGCAUUAGCUAGUUGGUAAGGUAACGGCUUACCAAGGCAACGCUGCGUAGCCGACCUGAGAGGGUGAUCGGCCACACUGGAACUGAGACACGGUCCAGACUCCUACGGGAGGCAGCAGUAGGGAAUCUUCCGCAAUGGGCGAAAGCCUGACGGAGCAACGCCGCGUGAGUGAAGAAGGUCUUCGGAUCGUAAAACUCUGUUAUUAGGGAAGAACAAAUGUGUAAGUAACUAUGCACGUCUUGACGGUACCUAAUCAGAAAGCCACGGCUAACUACGUG
rnacentral:rRNA from 1 species